rnacentral:lncRNA from 1 species
AAAUAUUGGCAAGGACAUGGAGCAAAUGGAGCUCGACUUUCCUAUGUCACAGAUGCAGAUCUCAGAUAUAUUUUCAACUACGAAUAGAAUUGACUGACUCCAGUUGGAAAUAUUUGGGGACCUCAAGAUAAAGCCUUGAUGGGAAUGUGGCAUGCCUUACAAAGUGUUACAAAAAGCAGGUCCAGGAUAUGAGACUUUAUUUCUUCUUAGGCAAUACACUGAGGUACCUCUGGGUCCAGCUCUUAAAAGCUAAUGCUUCCGUUCUCAAGUAGGCAGUGGAGCCACUGUUUUCUCAGAAUAAGAAGAUACUUCUUUCAGUUUGUGUGACAUUUGUGAAGAAGAAUUUUUCAAGUUUUCCUGAACACUUUUCCAUAUUUGUUGCAAUAAUAGAAGACUAUUCAAAUUAACCUCAUCCAUUCAGUCAGACCACAGGAAGUUGUAGAUCCUAGCACUGCCCGGAUAUUGGACUUUCUCCCACAUCUCUGCCUGGGAACUGCCAGCUGAGUUAUUGCUGUCGGAGAAGUAUGCAGUGUGUCUGGGCUUUGGGGUUAUCUGAUCAGCAGAGGCAUCGUUUCUUAGAUAUGACACCAAAAGCAGAGACAACAAAGGCAAAAAUAGACAAGUGGAACUACAUCAAACUAAAAAGCUUCUUUACUGGGAAGAAACGAAAGGCAACAGAAUGAACAGAAUGAAAGGCAACCUACGGUCUCUACUAAAUGGAAUGAAAAAGCCUACUGUGCAUUCUGUGCUGAUAUGUGACAGUCUUCAGAGAAAGGACUCCUUUCUUAGAUGGCAUGACCCAUUAAAUAUUGCUCCAGGUCAACAGAAGAAGGAAAUUGCUGUCCCGCCUCAGGUACCCAUCUGCUAUAACCCUUGGCCCUUUGCACCUCACUUUAUAGCCACUUGAAUCUAAGUGUCAUCCUCACCAGUCCUAUCCUACUGUGUGUUCCUGCAGAUAACAAUAGUGUCUUGGGCUUCCUGAGAUGCCACUUGCUAAAGGCCAAUGCCUUAUACUUGGUGCUCAUUCCAUAUUUGGCCAAUGUCAAAACUUUCAACAUUGCUUUAUUGAGCUCUCGAUACUGUUUUAUUGGCAUGUAAAGCCUGUCAUAAUUCAUCUUCGAAGGCAGUCAUCUUCAUUCCUUUCCACAUGGCACCAAUGUCAUUUCAUUAAUUUACCAGGUGGUAAAAACAUACUCAAAACCAUUCAUUCUGAGGAUCUUUUAGAUUUUUAAAUCUUUAUAUUUGUUCACCUCCAAUAAUAUGUCAUGAAAGCUAAUUUCUGGCCUUACAGACCGUAUGCUACUCCUAGGGGAGAGAAAAAUGGCAAAAUAAGUCCUUCAAUUCACCAUGCUGGACUUUUCCUUGGACAAUAAUCUAAUAAAAGAACAACAAAUGUCAAUAAAGGAUUGUAAUAUUUU